CAACUUUUCAUAGCCAAAUCAAAGAACAUACUGUAUAUAUUUACUUUUCAUCGAGAAUUUCAGUUUCUUGCAUUGCCGCCGGUCAGCCCCCAGCCCCACCGGCCGACUACAAAAUCCAAUUUUACCGGUGGAACAACACCAGUGGAGGUAGGGAAUUUGAGGGCGCAACAACCAAAUGGAUGAAGAUGUGAUGCAGAGGAGAGUGAGGGGUGAGAAUAUCAUGAGAUAUGCAUUCCAACAUUUUCGCCUGCGCAGACUCAUCGCUCUCUCUUUCUUUCUAAUCAAAAUGUUUCCCUCUAAAAAGUAAACAAAUACUCAUAGUAAGUUUGAAGUGAGACAAAGUCGACGAUGAUGACACAGACUUUUCAUUAUUUCAAUAAAUUUGAAUUAAAUAGUUGAGGAAAGUUGGGUGGUUCUCUCAUUGGAAUGACGUCUCUCAAGGAUAAAUUCAAAAAUCAAAAGCAGAAAAUUCAAGAAGAAAAUCGAGGAUCAAAUGUAAAUGUUGCCGUCACAAAGAAUUUAAGUGUACCAAUCCGAGAGCAUUUAAUUCCUUGGGUGGACAUGAAAAGGAAAGAGAGGUAAAGCAGCACUUACAAGUUACAGGAGGAACUUCCUUCUGGUGGUGGAAGACGGAGAGAGAGAGAGAGAGAGAGAGAGAGAACCCAUCGGUUUGCGUGUCACUCCACUUUGUAAAACAUUCUUGGUUCUUCUAAAAAUAAAAUACUGUAAAUUCUUGGUUCUUCAACCAC
rnacentral:lncRNA from 1 species